rnacentral:rRNA from 1 species
UACGUAGGGUGCGAGCGUUAAUCGGAAUUACUGGGCGUAAAGCGUGCGCAGGCGGUUAUGCAAGUCAGAUGUGAAAUCCCCGGGCUCAACCUGGGAAUGGCAUUUGGGACUGCAAGGCUCGAGUGCGGCAGAGGAGACUGGAAUUCCUGGUGUAGCAGUGAAAUGCGUAGAUAUCAGGAGGAAUACCGAUGGCGAAGGCAGGUCUCUGGGCUGACACUGACGCUCAUGCACGAAAGCGUGGGGAGCAAACAGG